rnacentral:rRNA from 1 species
UACGUAGGGUGCGAGCGUUAAUCGGAAUUACUGGGCGUAAAGCGUGCGCAGGCGGUCUGUUAAGACCGAUGUGAAAUCCCCGGGCUUAACCUGGGAAUUGCGUUUGGAGACUGCAAGGCUGGAGUCUGGCAGAGGGGGGGUAGAAUUCCACGUGUAGCAGUGAAAUGCGUAGAGAUGUGGAGGAACACCGAUGGCGAAGGCAGCCCCCUGGGUCAAGACUGACGCUCAUGCACGAAAGCG